UUGGAGGGCAAGUCUGGUGCCAGCAGCCGCGGUAAUUCCAGCUCCAAUAGCGUAUAUUAAAGUUGUUGCAGUUAAAAAGCUCGUAGUUGAAUUUCGGGACCACUAUGUCGGUCGUGCUUCGGUACGUACUGUCAUUAUUGGUUUCUCCCUUCUGAAGAACCUUGAUGUCAUUAAUUUGGUGUCUUGGGGAAUCAGGACUGUUACUUUGAAAAAAUUAGAGUGUUUAAAGCAGGCUCGCGCUUGAAUACAUUAGCAUGGAAUAAUGAAAUAGGACGUUUGAUUCUAUUUUGUUGGUUUCUAGGAUCGACGUAAUGAUUAAUAGGGAUAGUUGGGGGCAUUAGUAUUCAAUUGUCAGAGGUGAAAUUCUUGGAUUUAUUGAAGACUAACUACUGCGAAAGCAUUUGCCAAGGAUGUUUUCAUUAAUCAAGAACGAAAGUUAGGGGAUCGAAGACGAUCAGAUACCGUCGUAGUCUUAACCAUAAACUAUGCCGACUAGGGAUCGGAUGAUGUUAAUUUUUUAAUGACUCAUUCGGCACCUUACGGGAAAC
rnacentral:rRNA from 1 species